UUCAGGAAACCAGGCUGAAGAAUGUGAAAUACAUCGCCCAAAGUCAGACACGGAGGAACAACUGCUUCGGAGCUAGCAAUUUCCUGAGCUGGAAUUGCACCACUGGCCUGUAGAAUCCAAACUGUUUUCUACCAGAACAACUCCUUCCCUGCAGGAAGCAGGGUGUGCACAGCUGAACCCUGGUCUGAGAAGGUUGAAGUCACUGACUCAGCCCCAGCAAGGAAGUUGCCCUUCGACUUCUGACCUCUGGCCCUGUUUGAAAACCAACUCAAAUCGUUUUUCUUUUUCAGAAGCUGCUUGCCUCCGCUUCACCUUCCACCAUGAUUGUAAGUUUCCUGAGGCCUCCCAGUCAUGCUUGCCGUUAAAACUGUGGAACUGCUUUACAACGAAUGUAAAAGACAAGUCUCAGGAAAAGAUGUAAUUUUAUGGAAGAAAAAAGAUAGAAAAUAACAUUACCCAAAUGAAAACAGAUGAAGAUAAAGAUCAUUUCUUGAACAAU
rnacentral:lncRNA from 1 species